GCCCUUAUUUCUUUUCUGUUUUAAUUGAUUUCUACCCAUGUUCUCUUUUUGAUUAUAUUUGUUCUUCUCUUUGGCCAGACAACAGGCAUUUUUAUGGAGAUGGAUGCCCGGGAUCGUGCUCUCAGGGACUCCGUGGACCGUCGUAUUGAGGAGGCACGUCUCGAGGAGAACUUGUCGGCAACUAGCGAUGCCCGGAGCAACCUAGC
rnacentral:lncRNA from 1 species